GGGGAUGUAGCUCAAUUGGUAGAGCGCUUCAAUGGCAUUGAAGAGGUAGUCGGUUCGAUCCCGAUCAUCUCCA
rnacentral:tRNA from 1 species